rnacentral:rRNA from 1 species
AUUGAACGCUGGCGGCAGGCCUAACACAUGCAAGUCGAGCGCGCGGCGGACGGGUGAGUGAUGUCUAGGAGACUGCCUGUUGUAGGGGGGUAACUACUGGGGACGCUGGCUAAUACCGCAUACCAUCAGAUGUGCCCCGAUGGGGGUAGCUAGUAGGGGGGGUAACGGCUCACCUAGGCGACGAUCCCUAGCUGGUCUGAGAGGAUGACCAGCCACACUGGAACUGAGACACGGUCCAGACUCCUACGGGAGGCAGCAGUGGGGAAUAUUGCACAAUGGGCGCAAGCCUGAUGCAGCCAUGCCGCGUGUGUGAAGAAGGCCUUCGGGUUGUAAAGCACUUUCAGCGGGGAGGCGUUACCCGCAGAAGAAGCACCGGCUAACUCCGUGCCAGCAGCCGCGGUAAUUC